AUACCUACGAGGCGCAGCAGUCGGGAAUAUUGCACAAUGGAGGAAACUCUGAUGCAGUGACACCGCGUAUAGGAAGAAGGCUUUCGGAUUGUAAACUAUUUUAGACAGGGAAGAAAAAAGACAGUACCUGUAGAAUAAGCUCCGGCUAACUACGUGCCAGCAGCCGCGGUAAUACGUAGGGAGCAAGCGUUAUCCGGAAUUAUUGGGUGUAAAGGGUGCGUAGCCGGGACAGCAAGUUAGUUGUGAA
rnacentral:rRNA from 1 species